rnacentral:rRNA from 1 species
UACGUAGGGUGCGAGCGUUGUCCGGAAUUACUGGGCGUAAAGAGCUCGUAGGUGGUUUGUCGCGUUGUUCGUGAAAACUCACAGCUUAACUGUGGGCGUGCGGGCGAUACGGGCAGACUGGAGUACUGCAGGGGAGACUGGAAUUCCUGGUGUAGCGGUGAAAUGCGCAGAUAUCAGGAGGAACACCGGUGGCGAAGGCGGAUCUCUGGGCCAUUACUGACGCUGAGGAGCGAAAGCAUGGGGAGCGAACAGG